UGGGGAAUUUUGGACAAUGGGGGAAACCCUGAUCCAGCCAUCCCGCGUGUGCGAUGAAGGCCUUCGGGUUGUAAAGCACUUUUGGCAGGAAAGAAACGUCAUGGGUUAAUACCCCGUGAAACUGACGGUACCUGCAGAAUAAGCACCGGCUAACUACGUGCCAGCAGCCGCGGUAAUACGUAGGGUGCAAGCGUUAAUCGGAAAUACUGGGCGUAAAGCGUGCGCAGGCGGUUCGGAAAGAAAGAUGUGAAAUCCCAGAGCUCAACUUUGGAACUGCAUUUUUAACUACCGGGCUAGAGUGUGUCAGAGGGAGGUGGAAUUCCGCGUGUAGCAGUGAAAUGCGUAGAUAUGCGGAGGAACACCGAUGGCGAAGGCAGCCUCCUGGGAUAACACUGACGCUCAUGCACGAAAGCGUGGGGAGCAAACAGG
rnacentral:rRNA from 1 species